AGAGGGAAUUUGCUCAAGGUCAUUGUUUCCUGGCGAAUGUUGUGCCUUAAUGGCAUUCAGGGCAGCACUGGUGGGAAGGAGCAAAUGAGCCCAGCUGGGACCACCAGCUCUGAGGGUUUUGAGCCUCCACAGUGAAGCCUGGAUCAGCUCAAAACACCUGUCAAGGACAUACCUGAAGAGAGAGAAGUUUAAGCAGUGCUGGCAGACAAGAAACCUGCUUCCCAGCCUGUAUCCUCCGUUGCCUGAAUAUCAUGGGUAUAAGGAAAUGUUUGCCGACUACAGCAUGUCCAAAUGUGAAUUACGACAGAACUGUAAGGGUCUGGGUCCCAGGAACUCAGAAAUCAAAUCUUUCCUUUACCAUCCAAGUGAUGUGCCAAAGAGAUGUGACACUGGCAGGAGUGUGUCUGGCAGACCAGCAGAGCCAGGGACUCUGCAUUGCACUGGCAAGGUCAACAUUGCCAAGAACCCUGACUUAACUCCUUCCUCCAGCUGUGUCCUCUGCAUGAAUACCACACCUGUAUUACAGAAAAAAAAGGAAAAUCUAAAGACCCAAGAUGCGUGUCCCUCACCAGACUUUUGAGAAUGGACAUAAGUGAUGUGACAGUUCAGAAAGUGGGAUGAAAGGCUUUUUAAUAGUACUGACUCUUGCUAACUUAAGACCAAAGUCCAGGUUG